AGACACUGGGGGGGUUCCUCUCUCUCCAAGGACGGAACACCUGUGUAAGGAGCUGGGGAAGGGCAAUUCGUCUUUCUUUUCCAGAUGACUGAAAAUACCGACAGGACCGUGGCUCUCUGCUUUCCAUCAGCAAGUGGCACUAGGGAGAGGCGGCUGAGGAAUGGAAAUGAUGUUGCUCCAAUUCAUCCCAGCAUCUACUUUUUCCCAAGGGACUCCAUGCCCAUAGGGGUUUGCUGCAUGCCUGUCCAGCAGUGAGGACGGCGGUACCACGGAUGCAUCCUGACCAGAUCAUGUAAGAAUUUGAUACCAAGAAACCCACCCCAGUGAGACUUUCUCUGACUGAAGUAUAUGGUUCGGUGUAAGCGCAGCAAUUUUUGCCUGUUUUUCUCCCUUUUACAUCUCUUGGGCUUGGAGAUCUCUGUCCUCAUUGCAACUAUGCUCAUUUGCAACAUCAGUGCCAUCAAAGAUUGGAGCACUUUCCUCUCCCAGAUCCUCCCCAGCGUGAACAAGACCCUGAACUUGGUACAGCAAGUGGAGGCCACCACCAGCUCGGUGGUGAGCGUCCUGCAGGAGCCCGAGCAGGACAGCUACCUGGCCAACAGCCAGCCCAUGAACUCCAGCAACUUCACGGCUGGCCUAGACCACUUGUUUCAGUACUCUUACUCCGACAAUGACCAGCUGUACAAGGAGUACAAACCCCCUCCUCGCGAUGCCAUCCCUCUGCCCAAGGCUGUCCUCUACCUCCUCAUGGCAGCCCUGGUGGUGGUGGCAGUGGCGUACGCCAUCGUUGGGCACCUCAUCAAAGACCUCAUUCAUGACUUUAUAGAUUGGAUCUUCGGCCCCAACCCAGAUGACAACAGCAACAAAAGCGACGUCAACUGCAUCACCAACAGCGUGAAUGAGAUGAGCGAGAUGCCCGAGGUGCCGCGCCACCGUGACCGCCAGCCCCAGGACGUGGUCAUCGCCAUCAGCGAGACCUGCCACCUGCCACAGCAAACGUGAGCAGUGUGACAGGAUGGGCACGACAGGGAAGGACCAGGAGAAGUCUCCUUGUUCGCCUCUACCGCCGACAGAGGAUUGUCUGCUGCUGAGCAACCAGCGCUGCAGGGAUGGGGGCAAAGGAAAGGGGCUGCGGGAUGGGCAGAGCCCUCCGGGCUCCAAAGACAUUGCCAGGGCCACGGGCUCGUCAGUCCUGCGGGUCCAUCGGCUUCCUUUUUUUUCCCCGUGAAUAGCAAAAAAGCAAAUGGAGAAAUACAGUGAGCAGAGGCGAGGUGGAGAAGAGGAGGGGUGGUCCUUUGGCAUGCGGCUGUCCUGCGUCAUGGGAAUGGGGCGGUGGGAAGGGCAAAGUGGGGAGAUGUACAAGAAAUACGUGUGUCUGCAAACCUCCCUGUACAGGAGAGCAUCUCCCAGCACACCCAUGCAAUCGGAAGGACGAGGCUGGAGGGGAGGGCAGGGACCCACCAGCAGUGAACACAGCCCUUUGUGUCCCCAUUUAGCUGCAUCUCGGGCUCAUCCCCUUUGGGUUCCCUUUGUCACCUCCAAGCUGGUUGACUCCCUGAGGGUGUGCUGGGGUCACCACAUCCACACGUGUGAUGUUUGAAGACAGGAUCCACCAUUUCUCUGCACGGCACAGCUCUCUACAUCUUUUCCAAAUUCAUAAAAGGCUGGAGGGGCUGAUCCUGGGCAGAGGCAAUUGACCCAGCCCCAGGAACCCAUAGCAGGGGUUGGAGCAUCAUCUGCCUCCCAGAAGCACUUCAUGGGGCUGCAGCUAUCAAGGGGAGAGGUGCUGCAAUGGGGAAUGCCAGGGCAGAUGGGGAGCAGUUCUGUAUAGGUGUACGGAGCCAGAAGAUGACAUGAGUCCCUGU
rnacentral:lncRNA from 7 species